GAUGAACGCUGGCGGUGUGCCUAAUACAUGCAAGUCGAGCGAACAGACGAGGAGCUUACUCCUCUGACGUUAGCGGCGGACGGGUGAGUAACACGUGGAUAACCUACCUAUAAGACUGGGAUAACUUCGGGAAACCGGAGCUAAUACCGGAUAACAUGUUGAACCGCAUGGUUCAACAGUGAAAGACGGUCUUGCUGUCACUUAUAGAUGGAUCCGCGUCGCAUUAGCUAGUUGGUAAGGUAACGGCUUACCAAGGCAACGAUGCGUAGCCGACCUGAGAGGGUGAUCAGCCACACUGGAACUGAGACACGGUCCAGACUCCUACGGGAGGCAGCAGUAGGGAAUCUUCCGCAAAGGGCGAAAGCCUGACGGAGCAACGCCGCGUGAGUGAAGAAGGUCUUCGGAUCGUAAAACUCUGUUAUUAGGGAAGAACAAAUGUGUAAGUAACUAUGCACGUCUUGACGGUACCUAAUCAGAAAGCCACGGCUAACUACGUG
rnacentral:rRNA from 1 species